UACGUAGGGUGCAAGCGUUAAUCGGAAUUACUGGGCGUAAAGCGCGUGUAGGCGGCUGUUCGAGUUGGGCGUGAAAGCCUUGGGCUUAACCCAAGAAAUGCGCUCAAUACUGGAUAGCUAGAGGACCGGAGAGGAUAGUGGAAUUCCCAGUGUAGUGGUGAAAUACGUAGAGAUUGGGAAGAACACCAGUGGCGAAGGCGGCUAUCUGGACGGUUUCUGACGCUAAGACGCGAAAGCGUGGGGAGCAAACAGG
rnacentral:rRNA from 1 species